rnacentral:rRNA from 1 species
CCUACGGGAGGCAGCAGUGGGGAAUAUUGCGCAAUGGGCGAAAGCCUGACGCAGCGACGCCGCGUGAGGGAUGAAGGUCUUCGGAUCGUAAACCUCUGUUAGCAGGGAAGAACGGUCACUGUGCUAACCAGAAGUGCAUUGACGGUACCUGCCCAGGAAGCACCGGCUAACUCCGUGCCAGCAGCCGCGGUAAUACGGAGGUGGCGAGCGUUAAUCGGAUUUACUGGGCGUAAAGCGCGCGUAGGCGGUAUGUCAAGUCAAGUGUGAAAGCCCCGGGCUCAACGUGGGAACGGCCUUUGAAACUGGCAAACUGGAGUGUGUGAGAGGAUAGUGGAAUUCCAGGUGUAGGGGUGAAAUGCGUAGAUAUCUGGAGGAACAUCAGUGGCGAAGGCGACUAUCUGGCACAUAACUGACGCUGAGGAGCGAAAGCGUGGGUAGCAAACAGGAUUAGAUACCCUUGUAGUC